ACUCUAGUAUUGACCCAAUUCACAUGUGUUGAGGUGGAAUGGGGUGUAACUUAAACUAAGUUACAUCCCAAUCUACCUCAACACAUGUGGAUUGUGGUCAAUACUAAA
rnacentral:pre_miRNA from 1 species